GCCCCGGUAGCUCAGGGGAUAGAGCGACGGCCUCCUAAGCCGUAGGUCCCAGGUUCGAAUCCUGGUCGGGGCACCA
rnacentral:tRNA from 1 species